rnacentral:rRNA from 1 species
GUCUGGUGGCGAUGGCGAGAAGGUCACACCCGUUCCCAUACCGAACACGGAAGUUAAGCUUCUCAGCGCCGAUGGUAGUUGGGGGUUUCCCCCUGUGAGAGUAGGACGCCGCCGGGC